CGUGUAGGCGGUUUUAUAAGUCUGAUGUGAAAGCCCCGGGCUCAACCUGGGAAGUGCAUUGGAUACUGUAAGACUUGAAUACGGGAGAGGGCAGUGGAAUUCCUGGUGUAGGAGUGAAAUCCGUAGAUAUCAGGAGGAACACCGGUGGCGAAGGCGGCUGCCUGGACCGAUAUUGACGCUGAGACGCGAAAGCGUGGGUAGCAAACAG
rnacentral:rRNA from 1 species